rnacentral:rRNA from 1 species
UACGGAGGGUGCGAGCGUUGUCCGGAAUCACUGGGCGUAAAGGGCGCGUAGGCGGCGCGGGAAGUCAUCGGUGAAAGUUCAGGGCUCAACUCUGAAUCGGCCGGUGAUACUCUCGUGCUUGAGCACUGUAGAGGCAGGUGGAAUUCCGGGUGUAGCGGUGGAAUGCGUAGAGAUCCGGAAGAACACCGGUGGCGAAGGCG